AGAAUGAACGCUGGCGGCAUGCCUAACACAUGCAAGUCGAACGAAGUCCUUCGGGGCUUAGUGGCGCACGGGUGCGUAACGCGUGGGAAUCUACCCUUAGGUUCGGAAUAACAGUUGGAAACGACUGCUAAUACCGGAUGAUGACGUAAGUCCAAAGAUUUAUCGCCUAGGGAUGAGCCCGCGUAGGAUUAGCUAGUUGGUGUGGUAAAGGCGCACCAAGGCGACGAUCCUUAGCUGGUCUGAGAGGAUGAUCAGCCACACUGGGACUGAGACACGGCCCAGACUCCUACGGGAGGCAGCAGUGGGGAAUAUUGGACAAUGGGCGAAAGCCUGAUCCAGCAAUGCCGCGUGAGUGAUGAAGGCCUUAGGGUUGUAAAGCUCUUUUACCCGGGAUGAUAAUGACAGUACCGGGAGAAUAAGCUCCGGCUAACUCCGCGCCAGCAGCCGC
rnacentral:rRNA from 1 species